CAUCAGUCCUCUGCAAAAAUGUUAUUUUGAUGAACGCAAGGCCAAGACUAUCUUGUUCACUGUCAUCUCAUCAGCCCCUAGCAAAAUGACUAAGUAUAUAGUAAGAGCUUAAGAAGUAUUUAAUGAAUUGCAUUGAAAUCGAAAUUCCGUAUUCCCUUUGUAAAAGGCAACUGUCCUUGAAAUGAGCAACACGCUAAACCAUGUUAUACUAAAACUAUAUAUUCUCAGGCAAAAUCCUAGAAGGCAAUGUUGGACAAGAAAGUUAUGUACAAAUGGUAUAAAGAGGCUUCAAACAGUAUGGAUGUCUUCAGUUGAGAUUAACUGGAUAUGGUUUCUAAUUACAAAGUUAAAACGUUGUGAAGAGGCAGGAGUGAAUGACGGCAUUACAUCACUAACCACCAGCCACCAUCUUUUGGACUGUUCCAACCUUUGUCUUGACUAUAAUCACAUGAUAUUUUCUGAGCCAAAAGUGUCCAACUGACCCAGAAUUCCUGAGCCACAACACAGAUUACAAGACCAAGCCUUGCCACUUGGCCACCACACCUGACUCUGUUUAAGAUUAAAGGGAAGGAAUGCGGAGGAGGCUUCAUCACUACAACCAGGAGUGAAAGGACAUGUGCAUAAAACCAAGCUGUGGACAACUAGUUCGCCAUCUCGUCACAAUACCAAUGCGCCAACUUUUAUAUUCGA